rnacentral:rRNA from 1 species
AUGCCGUCGCGAUCACCGUCGUCGUCGUCUUGGGCCGCACCCCCCGGCCUUGCCAUGGCCACCGAGGCACGCGAGGAGGCCACUGCUGGCGGUUGCCUCCCCGCGGACCAGUCCUGCUUUGCGCUCUCCGCGGGCCCACCCUACCCUUCGCGUCGUGCCGCUGCCGCCGCGCGAGCCUGCUGCACGACCACCUCCUACAUCGUCGUUCUGAGCAUCAGCUUCGGCUCCCUCCUCGCCAUACUGCUCAUCCUGUGUGUGAUCCGGUGGUACCUCGUGCACCGCUCCGCGCGCCAGCAGGAGGAGGAGGCCACGGCUGCGGCCACCGAUGCGGCCCCGGGAAUGGCCAAGAAGCGGUCGGCGGGGCUGGACGCGGACGCCAUCGCAGCGCUGCCCGAGUUUGUGUACCGGAAGGACGGCGGCGUCGGCGAGGAGGAGGAGGACGCCGCAGAAUGCGCCGUGUGCUUGGCCGUGAUGGUCGACGGGGAGGCGGCGCGGCGGCUGCCCAGGUGCAUGCACGUGUUCCACCGGAGCUGCGUUGACGUCUGGUUGAGGGAGCACUCGACAUGCCCGGUCUGCCGAGCUGAGGUGGUCAUCAGGCCGGCCGGAGUAGAGUGCGCCGGGAAGGAACAUGUGGGCAGCACGUCACGGGCUGUCACGUCACCGCCGCCGCGGGAGCAGGUUCUGGACGACGGGGAGAGGGACCUGGAGGCGCAGUAG